GUAGAGUGCUCUCUCCGGGUUGGAGAUGGGGUCCUCCCCCAAGUGGAGGAGUUUAAGUAUCUCGGGAUCUUGUUCACGAGUGGGGGAACGAUGGAGCGGGAGGUCGACAGGCGGAUCGGUGCGGCGUCAGCAGUCAUGCGGGCGCUGCAUCGGUCUGUCAUGGUGAAGAGAGAGCUGAGCCAAAAGGCGAAGCUCUCGAUUUACCAGUCGAUCUACGUUCCUACCCUCACCUAUGGUCAUGAGCUUUGGGUAGUGACUGAAAGAACGAGAUCGCGGGUACAAGCGGCCGAAAUGAGUUUCCUCCGCAGGGUGGCUGGACUCUCCCUUAGAGAUAGGGUGAGGAGUUCAGUCAUUCGGGAGGGACUCAGAGUAGAGCCGCUGCUCCUCCGCAUCGAGAGGAGCCAGAUGAGGUGGCUCGGGCAUCUGAUCCGGAUGCCUCCGGGACGCCUCCCUGGGGAGGUGUUCCGGGCAUGUCCCACUGGGAGGAGGCCCCGGGGAAGACCCAGGACACGCUGGAGAGACUGGCCUGGGAACGCCUCGGGAUCCCCCCAGAGGAGCUAGAAGAAGUGGCCGGGGAGAGGGAAGUCUGGGCUUCCCUGCUGAGACUGCUGCCCCCGCGACCCGACCCCGGAUAAGCGGAGGAUAAUGGAUGGAUGGAUGGAUGGAUCUCAGCACCACACUAGUCUGAAUGGACCAGUGUGAGGUUUUCCCAGUGGCUGGAGUGCCAAUCCUGCCAACAACCCCCAAGUUUAUUCCUUGUAUAAAGACCUCUUUAUAGGGCUGGAUGUGGGUUAAUGUCAUUUCAAGGAUGAAGCAAUUGCAUGUUUGCUCAAGGGUCCAAUGAAGUAGAAUCACUCUAGGCAUUCCUAGGGUUUGAACCAGCUGGAACAGAUUCCUAGUCUCAGGAAAAUUGUGGGAAUUAUCAAAGAUGAAAACUUUCCAUGGAAAUUAAUGAAAAUAAACUGAAAGUCUGCAAAAUUGCAGGAAAUACUUUACUGGAAAUCCGGAAAUUUCUCACCCCUUUGUAGUCCCAAAUGUAGUAAACACAAAUAUGGCAGUGAAAUGAAAUGGGUAAAACUUUUAUCAACAGUUUUAAAGUUAGCAGUAAAGGCCAGGGCAGUACAGUGUUAAAGCAAUAAGGCAAUAAUCCAUGGUAUUUUGAAAAUCCUUAUGAUAAAAUUAUCCUGGACCCCACCCCGGACUCGAUGAAUUUCAUUUCAGAAUGUCACAACAGUGCUGCUUUUAAAUGUCACAUACCUCGUUAUGUCUGGACAGAAUGAAACAUUACAGAAGAUCAACGGGAGGCAACGACCCUCCUCAUAUGGCAGCUCACCACAGCUACCUCUACUACUCUUCCUGUACUCUUUGUCGGUGACUCCUGCUGCCACCUACUGGAUUUUUAAACACAUGUAUCAUAAACACUGCCUAUCCCUGCCCACCCCCUCCACCUGCAGACACACAACCCCCCUAUAAAUGGACGUGGUUCGACUCUGCUGGCCUCAGUUUAGCUUUAGAAGCAUCACUCAUCUUCACAGACAUCCAGUGGAAUCAUGAAGCACCAUCAGAUCUCUGCCUUCUGCCUCCUGAUGACAGUGCUGCUGUCCUCCUCUCUGGCAAAUAAUGGCAAUGAACCAUACCAGUGCUGUUUUACAUACUUUCCUGGAAGACUGAGGAUGGACCUGAUAGAUAGAUAUGAGGAGACCAGACAGGAAUGCGCUAAACCUGGAACUAUAUUUUACACCAAAAAGGGCAAUAAACUGUGUGUCGAUCCCAGCCAUCGCUGGGUUCAGCAGGUGAAGGAGAAGCUGGAUCAGCAGUAACACCUCCUGUCUGCCUGGCAAAACAUGAAGAAUUACAUUUCAGGUUCUGCUGAAAUUAUCAUACAACGUUACUUUCUGUCAUCAUCAAAAUCAUUUUAACUUUUGCUGCAUUUUAUACUGUAGUAUCGUUUGUAUUUUUUAUUUUAUUUUUGAAACAAUAGUCAAAUUUCAGUUGCACUUAUACUUCUCUACAUACAUAUGUUACUCCAUAAAGAUUAUUAUUAUUAUUAAUAUUAUUUAAAGUUAUGCUGGCCGGUCCAUUAAAGACAAUUCUGUGCUUUUCAGUGGUGGAGGGCGUGCUCAAAAAUUUACUUCAAUAAAAAUAGAAAUAAACAUAUAACCCCCUAAAUUUGCGGGGCAGUCUGGCUGGAUUUUUAGUUGGGUUAAGAAGAACUCAUUUUUUCCCAGCAGGGGGUGGUAUACUUUAACAAAUGCGCGUAACUGCGGUGGAAAAUACAUCGUGUGGUGAAGGUGCCGAGUGGAUGAGGAGUUCAUUAUAAUUUUGUAGUCGAUAUGUGAAAUGUACAUAUUACUGUGAUCUGAGUUUUCCGUGUUUAAAGCAAAAGGAGAACAGUUAACCUUACCAGGAUUUUUGGGAGCUGAACUUCCAUGGAUUUCAGAUAAGCUAAGAAAAAGAAAGAAAAGAACCGACGAAAGCAAGACAUUACUGACUGACUGGACUAAAAUGACUGACGAAAGCUUUGUGAUGUAUUAUUGUAAAAAUAUAGGUUGAGUAAGUUCAUAUUAAGUAUUGAGCAAUGUUAUUUUUAGGGAGGUGCUAAUUUUCUAGUGUUAUUGUUUAUACAGUUAUUCAUUUUGUCCUGUUUCAGUUUUAUCUGUGAGGUCUUAUGUGUAUCUUUUUUGUGGAAAUGCAAACCGUGAAUCUAAAGUAUUCAGUACAAUAUAUAGAAGAGCGAACCAGGCAAAACUUAGAGGGAAAUUGUUUAUUUUACUAUUUCUUUUUAGGCAAAUGUUUAUAGCUCAAAAAAAAUGUGGUCUUGUUUUACUUACUUUCCUCCUUCUCGAGAUACAAGCACGAUGUGCUCUAGUGAAAGUCGAGGUACCACAUUGGCCUUUCUACUUAAAGUAAGUACUUGCAUGUAAACAUACUUAACGCAUUAAAGUAAGAAUAGAAUGAACUUGUAGUUCCUGAUGCAACUAUAUAACACGGCAGUAAGUAUGUCUACUGUACAUUUAUUUUAUUAAAUACAAAAAUUCAGGCAUGACAGUGUUGUAUUUUCCAAUCUAAUCAUUUAAAAAAUGAAAUGCUAGUUUAUAAUAAGAGCUUCAGAAAUAUCAUAUUCCAUUGAGUUCUAAUGAUUAAUGCUGAUUCAGCAAUAGCUGUGACACUGAUAUACGGUGUGUUGGGUUGUGUACAGAAAAUAUGCUAUUUCAUGAUUUGUAUUAUCAGGACAUGAGAUUUUGCUCAUAUCGCAAAGACCUAUAUGUGUGUGUUAAAACUUGCUUACGAAACUUAAAGUUAAAAAUAAAACACUUUUCCAUAAAA